UNGAGCUCAGAAAGGCAAGAAGCCGUGUGGA
rnacentral:piRNA from 1 species